rnacentral:rRNA from 1 species
UACGAAGGGGGCUAGCGUUGCUCGGAAUCACUGGGCGUAAAGCGCACGUAGGCGGCUUUCUAAGUCAGGGGUGAAAUCCUGGAGCUCAACUCCAGAACUGCCUUUGAUACUGGCUGUCUUGAGUUCGGGAGAGGUGAGUGGAAUGCCGAGUGUAGAGGUGAAAUUCGUAGAUAUUCGGCGGAACACCAGUGGCGAAGGCGACUCACUGGCCCGAUACUGACGCUGAGGCGCGAAAGCGUGGGGAGCAAACAGG